rnacentral:misc_RNA from 1 species
GGGGGUAGCCGAAUGAUAUCCCGAAGGGGUCCAAUAAGACUUCCUUUCAAGUAAUACAGGGACGGACUGAUACUCUAACUCCCAAUGCAGGAACAGGAAUCUAAAUGAAGAGGAGGGUUUCGAAACCCAUUGAACCUCCCAAUCGAAUGAAUCGUAACAUUAGUAAUGAUCAACUUUACGGAGCCCUAUCACUCGGUUAGAU